CUGAUGCAGCACGCCGCGUGAGGGAUGACGGCCUUCGGGUUGUAAACCUCUUUUAGCAGGGAAGAAGCGAAAGUGACGGUACCUGCAGAAAAAGCGCCGGCUAACUACGUGCCAGCAGCCGCGGUAAUACGUAGGGCGCAAGCGUUAUCCGGAAUUAUUGGGCGUAAAGAGCUCGUAGGCGGUUUGUCGCGUCUGCUGUGAAAUCCCGAGGCUCAACCUCGGGCCUGCAGUGGGUACGGGCAGACUAGAGUGCGGUAGGGGAGAUUGGAAUUCCUGGUGUAGCGGUGGAAUGCGCAGAUAUCAGGAGGAACACCGAUGGCGAAGGCAGAUCUCUGGGCCGUAACUGACGCUGAGGAGCGAAAGGGUGGGGAGCAAACAGGCUUAGAUACCCUGGUAGUCCACCCCGUAAACGUUGGGAACUAGUUGUGGGGUCCAUUCCACGGAUUCCGUGACGCAGCUAACGCAUUAAGUUCCCCGCCUGGGGAGUACGGCCGCAAGGCUAAAACUCAA
rnacentral:rRNA from 1 species